GGGCGUGUGGCUCAGUUGUAAGGUGCUUGCCUAGCAUUCAAGAAGUCCUGGGUUCAAUCCCCAGCCCCA
rnacentral:tRNA from 1 species